AUUGAACGCUGGCGGUAGGCCUAACACAUGCAAGUCGAACGGCAGCACAGUGAUUGCUUCCUCUUACGGGUGGCGACUGGCGGAUGAUUGAUGAAUACAUCCCUAGUUACUUGUUCUUGGGUUAGGACUUAGGGAAUCUUACUGUAUUACCGCAUAGGACCUACGUGUGAAAUCUGCGUAUCUUCGGACAUUACACGAUCGUAUGUGCCGAUGUCGGAUUAGCUAGUUGGCGGGGUAACGGCCCACCAAGGCGACGAUCCGUAGCUGGUCUGAGAGGAUGAUCAGCCACACUGGAACUGAGACACGGUCCAGACUCCUACGGGAGGCAGCAGUGGGGAAUAUUGGACAAUGGGCGAAAGCCUGAUCCAGCCAUACCGCGUGUGUGAAGAAGGUCUUCGGGUUGUAAAGCCCUUUUGUUUGGAAAGAAAAGCAGCAAGUUAAUACCCCGCUGUUCUGACGGUACCAAAAGAAUAAGCACCGGCUAACUUCGUG
rnacentral:rRNA from 1 species